rnacentral:rRNA from 1 species
AGAGUUUGAUCCUGGCUCAGGAUGAACGCUAGCGGCAGGCUUAACACAUGCAAGUCGAGGGGCAGCGCGGGGUAGCAAUACCUUGGCGGCGACCGGCGGAAGGGUGCGUAACACGUGAGCGACUUGCCCGUCACAGGGAGAUAACCGGCGGAAACGGCGACUAAUAUCCCAUAUGAUCCGGUGCUACAUGGCGUCGGAUUGAAAGAUUCAUCGGUGACGGAUAGGCUCGCGGGACAUUAGCUUGACGGCGGGGCAACGGCCCACCGUGGCGACGAUGUCUAGGGGUUCUGAGAGGAAGAUCCCCCACACUGGAACUGAGACACGGUCCAGACUCCUACGGGAGGCAGCAGUGAGGAAUAUUGGUCAAUGGGCGGAAGCCUGAACCAGCCAUGCCGCGUGAAGGAAUAAGGCCCUAUGGGUCGUAAACUUCUUUAGACGCAGAGCAAUAAGGUCCACGAGUGGAUCGAUGAGAGUAUGCGUAGAAUAAGCAUCGGCUAACUCCGUGCCAGCAGCCGCGGUAAUACGGGGGAUGCGAGCGUUAUCCGGAUUUAUUGGGUUUAAAGGGUGCGUAGGCGGCAAGGUAAGUCAGCGGUGAAAGACCAGGGCUCAACUCUGGAAGUGCCGUUGAUACUGUCUGGCUAGAAUGAUUCCGCCGUGGGAGGAAUGAGUAGUGUAGCGGUGAAAUGCAUAGAUAUUACUCAGAACACCGAUUGCGAAGGCAUCUCACGAGGAGUUCAUUGACGCUGAGGCACGAAAGCGUGGGGAUCGAACAGGAUUAGAUACCCUGGUAGUCCACGCAGUAAACGAUGAUGGCUAACUGUCGGGCCUACGGGUUCGGCGGCCAAGCGAAAGCGAUAAGCCAUCCACCUGGGGAGUACGACCGCAAGGUUGAAACUCAAAGGAAUUGACGGGGGC